rnacentral:rRNA from 1 species
GGACUACCGGGGUAUCUAAUCCUUUUUGCUCCCCACGCUUUCGUCUCUCAGUGUCAGGGUCGUCCCAGCAAACUGCCUUCGCUUUUGGUGUUCCCGACAAUAUCAACGGAUUUCACCCCUACUUUGUCGGUUCCGUUUGCCUCUAACGCCCUCUCAGUGUAGCAGUAUUCAAAACAGCUCAAAGGUUAAGCCGAUGAGGUUUAAUCUUGAACUUACUACACCACCUACAGACCCUUUACACCCAAUAAAUCCGGGUAACGCUCGGGGAUUCUGUAUUACCGCGGCUGCUGGCAC